rnacentral:rRNA from 1 species
UACGUAGGGUGCAAGCGUUGUCCGGAAUUAUUGGGCGUAAAGAGCUCGUAGGCGGUUUGUUGCGUCGGCUGUGAAAUCCCGAGGCUCAACCUCGGGUCUGCAGUCGAUACGAGCAAACUAGAGUGUUGCAGGGGAGACUGGAAUUCCUGGUGUAGCGGUGAAAUGCGCAGAUAUCAGGAGGAACACCGAUGGCGAAGGCAGGUCUCUGGGCCGCAACUGACGCUGAGGAGCGAAAGCGUGGGGAGCGAACAGG